UAAGUUUCAUCUUUACAUUAGUAUAUCCGCUUGCUAUGCUGGUAUUAACUACGUUAAAACUAAACUCUACGUUACCCCAACAAUGGGAGGGGAAAAUGGGAGAUAAAGUGAAUGCAGAGUCGAAAACACCAUCGGAAAUGUUUCUUACAAAAAAGAAAAAAGAAAUGGGCUACAUAAAAAUAUAAAUCUGUCCCCAAUGCUCUUCUACUGUGAACCUCACCUUUAUUACAUGUAACAUAUAUGUGGCAGUGCAGGCAGUGUAUUGCAAAGGAGAGUUGAAGGAUUCAGACAGAGUCACAAAGUACCAUGGAGCAAACUGAAGGGAGUGUAUGUCAUACUGAAGGAGGGAGCACUGCCUGACGAUGACCCACAGGACACUGGUGAUCUAAUUAAAGGUGUGGAAGUCCUCAAUGA